GCCUGGGUGGCUCAGUUGGUUAAGCAUCCGACUUCGGCUCAGGUCAUGAUCUCGUGGUCUGUGGGUUCGAGCCCCGCAUCGGGCU
rnacentral:tRNA from 1 species